CGUGACUUGCCCAAUUUGAUACACGAGCCGAACCACUGAUUCGAAACAAAAGAUUCCGAAGCUUCAUGAAGCAGUGUUUCAAAAGCGGCCAUCACUACAAUAAAUAGCUUGUCAGAUUUUCUAACAAGCAACCAUAUUUUUUAAAAACAAGCCAAAAAAAACGCAACCUGCGAUUUUUUCAAUCCCAGAGACGCGUAUUAUAACUUUGAUUUGGCAACUCUGGCACAAAUCUUAUCCCACCGAACGUAACCUUAUCUCCUAGUUUCCUUGUAGUAAUUACGACUUGACAGGCCGUUCAUGUCCAACUUCCGACUAGGAAAAUCGUAUUCACGAUAAUUCCGAUAGCACGUGAAGGCAGUAUAAGUCGAAUAUAGCAAUACGCACGCGCAAAAUGACGUUUGACAUCGUAGAGAUUUUGCUAGUGGUAUCGAAAGUCUUGCUAUCCCUUUUAGCCAAGCGUAGGCCAGUAAACCAUCUUUGGUAAGACACUGGAAUCCAGAACAGCGAAUUCAGAAAAGGACCCGUUGUCACCAAAAGCCACAUUUGUUGUUGUAAUAAUCUUCGUGCUGACACUUCUUGGAAGCUGAGCAUGCUUCCCAAAUCCCAUAUGCUCUCUGUUUGCAUGGAGAUGCUUGUGUAUGCACCCUCGCUUUCUGUCAAGGUAAAUAGAGAAUAUUUUGCGUUCUUUAUCAAUUUAGCUAACAUUAUAUACUUCCUUGUAGGCUCUGUGUUAGUAAGAGAUGCAAUUUGAGGAGAACUCGAGGCUGAUUUAUACUUGCUGUUAACUAUGCACACACAAGAUGGGUGCAGCAGUCAUUUGACGCAUUGAUUGUGCAGAUCAGCAGAAAUACUGGAGGCAGUAUAGCACUAUGACACUGUGUCCCAAACUAACUAAACCAACUAGCUUUGUAUCUUAAAUACAUACUUUUUUUUAUUCUAGAUGAGUGGUCACCAACCCUAUUACAGUUAGUCUUUGAAUAAAUAAAUUAAAAAAAAGCUCACCAGUAGGCAUGUUUUAAUUACUAGUCUUCUGGACUUUUAGAGUAGUAAAUACGCAUUUCAGACACAGCCCAUUGACAACAGCCAUGCCCACUGCAUUGAGUUUUAAAGAGAAAUGGUUCUCAUAAGUCUGUUCUAUUGUUGGGCUUGAGUUUGCUUCAGUUUGACUUGGAAACCAGAUGGACAGAGAUGUUUCAGCUCUGGCGUGCCAUCUAGGGGUUGUCGAUUUUAAUCCUUUUAAUCCAUACAUUAGAUAUGCAAGUGAAUAUCGGAACAAGGGCGAUCAUGAAAUCAGACAGUGAAUUAUAUUUGGGCCUUUCAGUGUUUCCCCACAGGAUUUUGUCAGACUGUGGGGGGUGGACCUCUGACCCCAUGGGGGGAGGGGGGCAUGCUCCUCCGUAAGAAAAUUUUGUCUGGUACACAAAAUUCUCUAGAGUCUAGAUCUGUUAAGAGCUUUGCUCUUGUGAACAAUUUUGUGCUCUAGUAAUAAUUUAAUAAUUUAAACGUUAGUUGUAUUGUAUAGAUAUGAAUGGUGAUGACAUGGCAAAACACCCUUAAAGCAUGGUAAAUGAAACUGUUUAAUGUGGUUCACAAAUGGCCAAAACACAAAAUCGACUAGAGCAUACAUUUGAGCCAUCAAAGAAAUGAAGCAAAAAUGGUUACCUGUGUUGAACUGAUUUAUUUAUUAUUAAAUUUAUUUAUACUAAUUUAUUUAUUAUUUAAAAAAAUGCACUGGAUGAGGAGGAUAUGGUAUUGAUCAACUUUCCCUGCAUCCCUAUUGGCAAAAUUUGCAUCCUGAAAUUGGACAUUUAAUUUUCCUGGGCUUUGAGAAACAUGUCUAAUGACCUUUUAUUUUUUUAGUUGAAUUCCUCUGGGCUUGGCACAUUUAUUGAGACCCUCAGGUAGCCUGUUACGAUUGUCUGUUUUGUCCUGUAUAUACAUAUAUAUGUAUGUAUAUAUAUAUGCAUGUAUGUGUGUGUGUGUGUGUAUGUGUAUGUGUGUGUGUG
ensembl:lncRNA